rnacentral:lncRNA from 1 species
GAGUCUGUUGGGCUUUUGGUAAGUCCACAACCUUUAAAGGAUUUGAUGAGUCUUUACCAGCUACCGUUUGAGCUGGACUAGCUAUGGACUUCUUGGGCUCCAUAGUACCUGUUGGAUAAUGGACUUUUAAAUCCAAGAUCUCUUUUUCUAAUUGGGCCACUUUCUUUUGAAGUUGAGUUCUUUCUAAUGAAAGGUUCUGAUUGGCUUCAUUGAUAACUUUGAAAUUUCUCUGCAUACAUUCACAAUGUUGGCAGAAAAUAUUCUGGUCUUUGCUUGGAGAAAAAUCUAAUGGAGGGUCUGAGUAAUUCUUCAAAGAAGGAGAUAAAUAAAAAUUUAUUCCUAUCAGUUGUCU